rnacentral:tRNA from 1 species
GGAGAGGUGGCUCAGAGGUUAAGAGCACUGACUGUUCUUCCAGAGGACCUAGGUUCAAUUCCCAGCAUCCACA